rnacentral:misc_RNA from 1 species
GUGGGUAAAGACUUCUCUAAAGAGCUGCCAGUUGGUGUGUUGGUUAUGAAUGGAGCCAUUAGGUGUAUUCUCGAUGAUAGUUGAACUGAUUGUUACUAUCACGGGGGAAUGGUCAGAGAAGAGAUCAGCCGAGGAAUUGAUUUGGACGUGUCUUGACGAGAUAUAUUUAGUUAUGAGGAAAUCAAGGAGAUCGGGUAUUUUGUUUGUGG